AUCCCCAGAUGCAAUGGACAAUAUGCUAUUAUGAUUGUAUGGCAUUGUCCUUGGUGUUUGGAGAUAA
rnacentral:pre_miRNA from 1 species